GCAGGCACGAACACGUCGCGCGUUACGACGCUCGCUCUUUUUCGAUCUCCGUAGAUCGAUUGAAGUGUUUGCGAGGCGAAUUACGAUGUUGUACACGCAACCGUUAUGCUGUGCUCGUUGUGAACAAUAGCGAGAUACCGAAAUUCGGAGGAUCUGGCGGAACCUGUGAAUGUACCAUGAGUAUCGGGAGUAGCUGUUCCGGACGUGGAUACCGUUAGCGGACGAUCAGUUUUAAGGUUAAGUUAGGUUGAGAACGGCGCAUCGGAUGCUGGGAGCAGCUCGUCACUUCAUGGACUUCGUUGGCCGUCGUGCAAUGUAUGUUUCAGUGUAAUGUGUGCCACGGAGGAGCCAAGAACGGACGCCGAAUCGGGAAAUCAGAGCGCAGGAUGCAAGACGUCGAGGGAAUGCGAGCGAUAAAAUAUUUCCAGACGUGUGAAAUUAUUGAUUGCGCAGAAAAUUUUAGACCUCUGACGAGUUCACCGCGAAUCAUCAUUUGGCAAGUAGAAUUAAAAUUACACGAAUCUCCGAUUAUAUUCUCAUCAACUUGUAUCUAUACUUAUUACAUUAUUUCAUACAAGAAAUAUUGAUCCGUACGGCCGAAUAACGGCCCGUGAAUAUAAAUCUGUGAUUAAUUAUGCUCGAUCAAAGAUCCGAAAUAAUUCACAACUGUGAAUACCAGUUUUAGAAUGUAAUGUAGAUCUCGCAACAAGUGUUGACGUUUAUAACAAUGCUGCUUCGAGCGCGAAUAUGAUUUUGUUUAAAUUUACCAGCGCUUUUUCCGCUUCCAUUUAACUCCGUUAUUGUACAGAAUUCAAAUUUAAAUUCCUAUUCGUAAUUUA